rnacentral:rRNA from 1 species
UACGUAGGGGGCAAGCGUUGUCCGGAAUCAUUGGGCGUAAAGCGCGUGUAGGCGGCUUGGUAAGUCUGCUCUGAAAGCCCGGGGCUCAACCCCGGGAGGCGGGUGGAUACUGCUGAGCUCGAGUCCGGAAGAGGCGAGUGGAAUUCCUGGUGUAGCGGUGAAAUGCGCAGAUAUCAGGAGGAACACCAAUGGCGAAGGCAGCUCGCUGGGACGGUACUGACGCUGAGACGCGAAAGCGUGGGGAGCAAACAGGAUUAGAUACCCUGGUAGUCCACGCCGUAAACGAUGGACACUAGGUGUGGGGGGUGUCGACUCCCCCCGUGCCGAAGCUAACGCAUUAAGUGUCCCGCCUGGGGAGUACGGCCGCAAGGCUAAA